rnacentral:rRNA from 1 species
AGCAGCCGCGGUAAUUCCAGCCCCAAUAGCGUAUAUUAAAGUUGUUGCAGUUAAAAAGCUCGUAGUUGAAUUUCGGGGUCAGUAGAUUGGUCAUGCCACUGGUAUGUACUGGUCUCACUGAUUCCUCCUUCCUGAUGAGCCGUAAUGCCAUUAAUUUGGUGUUGCGAGGAAUCUGGACUGUUACUUUGAAAAAAUUAGAGUGUUUAAAGCAGGCUAACGCUUGAAUACAUUAGCAUGGAAUAAUGAAAUAGGACGUUCGAUCUUAUUUUGUUGGUUUCUAAGAUUGACGUAAUGAUUAAUAGGGAUAGUUGGGGGCAUUAGUAUUCAAUUGUCAGAGGUGAAAUUCUUGGAUUUAUUGAAGACUAACUACUGCGAAAGCAUUUGCCAAGGAUGUUUUCAUUAAUCAAGAACGAAAGUUAGGGGAUCGAAGACGAUCAGAUACCGUCGUAGUCUUAACCAUAAACUAUGCCGACUAGGGAUCGGAUGAUGUAUUUUAAUGA